rnacentral:rRNA from 1 species
UAGGGAAUCUUCGGCAAUGGACGAAAGUCUGACCGAGCAACGCCGCGUGAGUGAAGAAGGUUUUCGGAUCGUAAAACUCUGUUGGUGGAGAAGAACGUUGGUGAGAGUGGAAAGCUCAUCAAGUGACGGUAACUACCCAGAAAGGGACGGCUAACUACGUGCCAC